AUUGAACGCUGGCGGCAUGCUUUACACAUGCAAGUCGAACGGUAACAGGCCGCAAGGUGCUGACGAGUGGCGAACGGGUGAGUAAUGUAUCGGAACGUGCCCAGUCGUGGGGGAUAACGCAGCGAAAGCUGCGCUAAUACCGCAUACGAUCUGCGGAUGAAAGCGGGGGACCGUAAGGCCCCGCGCGAUCGGAGCGGCCGAUGUCAGAUUAGGUAGUUGGUGGGGUAAAGGCUCACCAAGCCGACGAUCUGUAGCUGGUCUGAGAGGACGACCAGCCACACUGGGACUGAGACACGGCCCAGACUCCUACGGGAGGCAGCAGUGGGGAAUUUUGGACAAUGGGCGCAAGCCUGAUCCAGCAAUGCCGCGUGCAGGAAGAAGGCCUUCGGGUUGUAAACUGCUUUUGUACGGAGCGAAAAGGCUCCCUCUAAUACAGGGGGCUCAUGACGGUACCGUAAGAAUAAGCACCGGCUAACUACGUGCCAGCAGCCGCCGUAAAAC
rnacentral:rRNA from 1 species